rnacentral:rRNA from 1 species
UGAGGAAUAUUGGACAAUGGGCGAGAGCCUGAUCCAGCCAUGCCGCGUGCAGGAAGACUGCCCUAUGGGUUGUAAACUGCUUUUAUACGGGAAGAACCCCGUCUACGUG